GGACUUCCGUACAGAAAACUGAACAGACACAUACAGCAUGUAAACUACAGCAGGUCGUCCAGGCUAUUCAGUGAGCACAUACUUCCGAAGCUAUUCAUUGCUAGAGCAGUAUAACUGAUAUGUACAAUGUACAAGAAAACAAGCCGCCUAUGAAUGAAAUUUCAA